rnacentral:rRNA from 1 species
UGGGGAAUAUUGGGCAAUGGGGCGAAAGCCUGACCCAGCAACGCCGCGUGAAGGAAGAAGGUCUUCGGAUUGUAAACUUCUUUUAUGAGGGACGAAGGACGUGACGGUACCUCAUGAAUAAGCCACGGCUAACUACGUGCCAGCAGCCGCGGUAAUACGUAGGUGGCAAGCGUUAUCCGGAUUUACUGGGUGUAAAGGGCGCGUAGGCGGGGAUGCAAGUCAGAUGUGAAAUCUAUGGGCUUAACUCAUAAACUGCAUUUGAAACUGUAUCUCUUGAGUGCUGGAGGGGUAAUCGGAAUUCCUUGUGUAGCGGUGAAAUGCGUAGAUAUAAGGAAGAACACCAGUGGCGAAGGCGGAUUACUGGACGACAACUGACGGUGAGGCGCGAAAGCGUGGGGAGCAGACAGGAUUAGAUACCCUGGUAGU